UACGAAGGGGGCUAGCGUUGCUCGGAAUCACUGGGCGUAAAGCGCACGUAGGCGGGUCUUUAAGUCAGGGGUGAAAUCCCGGAGCUCAACUCCGGAACUGCCUUUGAUACUGGAGAUCUUGAGUCCGGGAGAGGUGAGUGGAACUCCGAGUGUAGAGGUGAAAUUCGUAGAUAUUCGGAGGAACACCGAUGGCGAAGGCAAUCCCCUGGGCCUGCACUGACGCUCAUGCACGAAAGCGUGGGGAGCAAACAGG
rnacentral:rRNA from 1 species